rnacentral:rRNA from 1 species
GACGAACGCUGGCGGCGUGCUUAACACAUGCAAGUCGAGCGGUAAGGCCCGUUUCGGGGGUACACGAGCGGCGAACGGGUGAGUAACACGUGGGUGACCUGCCCUUAGCUCUGGGAUAAGCCUGGGAAACUGGGUCUAAUACCGGAUAUGACUCCAUGACGCAUGUUGUGGGGUGGAAAGCCUUGUGCGGCUAGGGAUGGGCCCGCGGCCUAUCAGCUUGUU